rnacentral:rRNA from 1 species
GCGUGAAUCUGCCGGGACCAUCCGGUAAGGCUAAAUACUCCCGAGAGACCGAUAGCGAACCAGUACCGUGAGGGAAAGGUGAAAAGCACUUCGAACAGAAGAGUGAAAUAGUUCCUGAAACCGUGCGCCUACAAGCGGUCGGAGCUCGUUAAUGAGUGACGGCGUGCCUUUUGCAUAAUGAACCUACGAGUUGCCUUUGCCGGCAAGGUUAAGUGUGACGACACACGUAUCCGAAGCGAAAGCGAGUCUGAAGAGGGCGUAUAGUCGGCAGUGGCAGACGCGAAACCAAGUGAUCUACCCUUGGCCAGGUUGAAGGCUGGGUAACACCAGCUGGAGGACCGCACCAAUAAGCGUUGAAAAGCUUCUGGAUGAGCUGAGGGUAGGGGUGAAAGGCUAAUCAAACUUGGAGAUAGCUCGUACUCCCCGAAAUGCAUUUAGGUGCAGCCUUGCGGGUUACUGAUGUGAGGUAGAGCGACUGAUAAGAUGCGAGGGCUUCACCGCCUAUCAAGUCUUGACAAACUCCGAAUGCGCAUCAGUUCUACCGCAGGAGUGAGGGCAUGGGUGCUAAGGUCCGUGCCCGAGAGGAGAAGAAUCCGGACCACCUGCUAAGGUCCCGAAAUGACAGCUAAGUUAAACUAACGAAGUCUGACUGCUAAGACAGCUAGGAUGUUGGCUUGGAAGCAGCCAUUCAUUUAAAGAGUGCGUAACAGCUCACUAGUCGAGGAGUUUGGCGUGGAUAAUAAUCGGGCAUUAAGCAAUUUACCGAAGCUAUGGGAUCAGUAAUGAUCGGUAGGGGAGCAUUCCACUCUGCGUCGAAGGUGAAGCGUGAGCUUUGCUGGAGCGUGUGGAAAAGCAAAUGUAGGUAUAAGUAACGAUAAAGGGGGUGAGAAACCCCCUCGCCGAAAGACUAAGGUUUCCUGAUCAACGCUAAUCGGAUCAGGGUUAGUCGGGUCCUAAGGCUCAGCCGAACGGUGAGGCCGAUGGCAGAACAGGUUAAUAUUCCUGUACUACCUUAAGGAGUGACGUGGAGACGGAGUCGUGACAGCGCCGCGGACUGACGGAAUAGUCCGUUGAAGGGUGUAGAUGCUGAUUGUUCCAGGCAAAUCCGGAGCAAGAGUCGAACCUGAUAGUAUGGAGCGUUCUUAGAACAAUCCAAUAGUGCGUGUAAUCAUACUUCCAAGAAAAUCCGCUAAACUUAAUCCUGCAGGUACCCGUACCGCAAACGGACACACGUAGUCGGGAUGAAUAUUCUAAGGCGCUUGAGUGAUUCACGGUUAAGGAACUAGGCAAACUGACCCUGUAACUUCGGGAUAAAGGGUCCCUACCCUUUUAUGGGAGGGCGCAGAGAAUCGGUCCAGGCAACUGUUUAACAAAAACACAGGGCUGUGCCAAAUCGAAAGAUCCAGUAUACAGCCUGACACCUGCCCGGUGCUGGAAGGUUAAGAGGAGAUGUCAUCGAUAAGAGAAGCGUUGAAUUGAAGCCCCAGUAAACGGCGGCCGUAACUAUAACGGUCCUAAGGUAGCGAAAUUCCUUGUCGGGUAAGUUCCGACCUGCACGAAUGGUGUAAUGAUCUGGACGCUGUCUCAACCGUGAGCUCAGUGAAAUUGUAGUAUCGGUGAAGAUGCCGAUUACCCGCGAUGGGACGAAAAGACCCCGUGAACCUUUACUAUAGCUUAUCAUUGAAUCUGGGCACGUGAUGUGUAGGAUAGGUCGGAGGCUUUGAAGCAGGUACGCCAGUAUUUGUGGAGCCGCUGUUGAAAUACGACCCUUUAUUUGUUUGGAUUCUAACCCGUGGAUACGGGGACAUUGAUUGGUGGGUAGUUUGACUGGGGUGGUCGCCUCCAAAAGCGUAACGGAGGCUUCUAAAGGUGCCCUCCGGCCGAUUGGUAACCGGCCUUAGAGUGUAAUGGCAUAAGGGCGCUUGACUGGGAGACUGACAAGUCGAUCAGGUAGGAAACUAGAGCAUAGUGAUCCGGUGUUUCC